rnacentral:sRNA from 1 species
CUGAUGACCCCGCGGUGCUGUCGGACCCCCGACCUGGCAGCAUCGCGGGGCUUUCCA